rnacentral:lncRNA from 1 species
UUUUUAAUUAUAAAUAUGCAGUUAUAUAUGGACCUAAAUAAAUGAAAUAUGUCCAUAACUAGGCUAUGUGAUACAGAGGCCAUGUAUUCCUCCUUUCAUUUUUUUAGACUCAUGUAUAACAAGUUGUUUAUUGAUGAUUACAUUAAAAAAUGUGGAUUCUAUCUAUAUUAUUUAUUCUAUAUGCAGUAUGUGUGGUUUUAAUACUGAAUUUUAUUUUAUUUUU